UACGUAGGGUGCAAGCGUUGUUCGGAAUUAUUGGGCGUAAAGAGCUCGUAGGCGGCUUGUCGCGUCGGUUGUGAAAACUCGGGGCUCAACCCCGAGCCUGCAGUCGAUACGGGCAGGCUAGAGUCCGGCAGGGGAGACUGGAAUUCCUGGUGUAGCGGUGAAAUGCGCAGAUAUCAGGAGGAACACCGGUGGCGAAGGCGGGUCUCUGGGCCGGAACUGACGCUAAGGAGCGAAAGCGUGGGGAGCGAACAGG
rnacentral:rRNA from 1 species